GGAAUCAGUGGUGUUGACUGGUGGGGGGAUAAGUCAUGGACAAUGGGCAGUAUGUGUCUGGAAGCCUGAGGUGCAA